GAGGAAUAAGCAUCGGCUAACUCUGUGCCAGCAGCCGCGGUAAGACAGAGGAUGCAAGCGUUAUCCGGAUUGAUUGGGCGUAAAGCGUCUGUAGGUGGUUUAUCAAGUCUUCUGUCAAAGAUCAGGGCUUAACCUUGGAUAGGCAGGAGAAACUAAUAGACUAGAGUUCGGUAGGGGCAGAGGGAAUUCCCGGUGGAGCGGUGAAAUGCGUAGAGAUUGGAAAGAACACCGAUGGCGAAGGCACUUUACUGGGCUAUUACUGACACUCAGAGACGAAAGCUAGGGUAGC
rnacentral:rRNA from 14 species